UGCAAUCUACCUUUCACAGAGGGAUAGCCCAGAGAAAUUUGGAUUAAUACCUCAUAGUAUUAUAGAAUGGCAUCAUUUUAUAAUUAAAGUCACAACGGUGAAAGAUGAGCAUGCGUCCCAUUAGCUUGUUGGUAAGGUAACGGCUUACCAAGGCAACGAUGGGUAGGGGUCCUGAGAGGGAGAUCC
rnacentral:rRNA from 1 species